UGGGGACCAAAGGUGACUUCUGAACCACUACCAAUGGCCAGGCAGGCGGGCUGCUUGCAAAGGCAGGGUCACUCAGCGGUCACCCAACCAAGCAGCAGCCAUGCUCGACGUUGCUUGACCUGCUUAUCUUGUGAUAACCAUUAUACCAGCUACACUGCGCCAUUGGAUGUAAGGUUAUGAUCAGAGAAAAUGCAAAUAAUCUCCUGGGAAUUCUGUCAAGAGGCCGAUUGCAAUAGUUUCAAUGAAAUCUACCUAAAAAACCACACAACAGUAAUUGUAACCAUAGAUUAUUUAUCAACUUCCAUUGAUCUGCCGGUCUCCCUCCACAAUUUUGGAAAAGCUGUGCAUAAUAUUGAUUUUUCCAUUUAUCGAGAUUGGCUGAAAGUUUGGUUUUAAAUACACUAAAAUAAUUCCUAAAGCCAACAUCAUACGGACGUCCUUUCAGUUGUUUAUACAAUUCCUGCCUCUUUUUAAGUCGGUUAAGUAAUGCUUCAGUCAUCCACGGACUUGUUCUUCUAGCUGUUAGUAACUUUUUACUUUCAGAAUUUGUUUUCGUACUAGCUCUUAAACAAGAAGUAAUUGUAUUAUUAAAAUUAUUAAAGCUAA